CGUGUAGGCGGCUCUCUAAGUCUGAUGUGAAAGCCCGGGGCUCACCCCCGGAAGUGCAUUGGAAACUGGAGAGCUCGAGUCCCGGAGAGGAGGGUGGAAUUCCUGGUGUAGCGGUGAAAUGCGUAGAUAUCAGGAGGAACACCGGUGGCGAAGGCGGCCCUCUGGACGGUGACUGACGCUAAGACGCGAAAGCGUGGGGAGCAAACA
rnacentral:rRNA from 1 species